AUCAGGACUGAGCACAACACACGCACCAUGGACCUUGGGGUGUGCUGGGUUUUCAUUGUUGCUGUAUUAAAAGGUGUCCAGGCGGAGGUGCAGCUAGUGGAGUCUGGAGGAGGCUUGGUGCGGCCUGGCGGGUCCCUGAGACUGUCCUGUGCAGCCUCUGGAUUCACCUUCAGUGACUACUGGAUGAGCUGGAUCCGCCAGGCUCCAGGAAAGGGGCUGGAGUGGGUUGGGGAAAUUAACAAGGAUGGUGGUAGCACAUCCUACGCAGACUCUGUGAAGGGCCGCUUCACCAUCUCCAGAGACAACGCCAAGAACACGCUGUAUCUGCAAAUGAACACACUCAAAACCGAGGACACGGCCACGUAUUACUGUGGGAGAGCCACAGAGAGGGGAUGUGAGUGUGAGCCUGGACACAAACCUCCCUGCACGGCUGCUCAGAACCAGCAGGGGGCAGGAGACCUGGGGGAGAAGAAACUGAUGGCAGAAUCCUCAGGAGAUGGAGGAAAACCUCAUAGUAAGAUCACUUCUGUGCAGGCCUCACAUUCUUUUGAUCCCUGGCCAGCUUCACCUUUGUUAGAAAUUCCCAAAGAGGUUCCAUGGUGA